AGUGAACGCUGGCGGUAGGCCUAACACAUGCAAGUCGAACGGCAGCACAGUAAGAGCUUGCUCUUACGGGUGGCGAGUGGCGGACGGGUGAGGAAUACAUCGGAAUCUACUUUUUCGUGGGGGAUAACGUAGGGAAACUUACGCUAAUACCGCAUACGACCUACGGGUGAAAGCAGGGGAUCUUCGGACCUUGCUCGAUUGAAUGAGCCGAUGUCGGAUUAGCUAGUUGGCGGGGUAAAGGCCCACCAAGGACGAUCCGUAGCUGGUCUGAGAGGAUGAUCAGCCACACUGGAACUGAGACACGGUCCAGACUCCUACGGGAGGCAGCAGUGGGGAAUAUUGGACAAUGGGCGCAAGCCUGAUCCAGCCAUACCGCGUGGGUGAAGAAGGCCUUCGGGUUGUAAAGCCCUUUUGUUGGGAAAGAAAAGCAGCAGGUUAAUACCCCGCUGUUCUGACGGUACCCAAAGAAUAAGCACCGGCUAACUUCGUG
rnacentral:rRNA from 1 species